AGAUGUGAGGGCGAUCUGGCUGCUACAUCUGUCACCCCACUGAUCGCCAGGGUUGAUUCGGCUGAUCUGGCUGGCUAGGCGGGUGUCCCCUUCCUCCCUCACCACUCUACAUGGGUCCCUUGUGAAGCUGCCCACUCGGUCAAAGAGGACGACCAUCCCGGGUAGGGGAGGACCGUUCUUUGGUCAAGGGUACACGAGUAGCUGCGCUCCCCUGCUAGAACCUCCAAACAAGCUCUCAAGGCACUGUCAUGGCCAAUCCCUACCAAUCAGGGGAAGGGCCUGGUGGGCAGGUACUGCAGCAGGUUCAUAAGUAGAGGCCCCAUCUAUAC
ensembl:misc_RNA 7SK 7SK RNA